UGCGCCUGAAGCACAUUGCCGCUAUCCUGGAGGCGGUCCUCUCUGGAUAUCAGCGUUGCGGCUGGAGGCAGGGCUGGUCCUCAGCCUGCUGUCCACUGCCACCUUGGCCUGCUCUUGCGCCGCGAACUCUGUGCCGUCGUUCCCUUUCACCAUAUUUUGGGACGGCCGGCGCUAAGAAUUUAUGCUAUGACCUUCGAUUCAGCCAGGAGGAAAGAAAAUGGCUGUGCACAGAGGGAGAAUUGAUCACUGUCUGUUCUUCAAAGACACUUCUCUGGCAGUGGUUGGGGCUGUUAGCGCUCACUGCCCUAACAGAGACCUGCUUCAACAGGGUACGAAGAUCCAUCAUUUGGCCCAGCUGUAUUAUGGGAUCAUCUGACUUCACGGUGUCAUUGAAAGGCUUACGUGUGCUAGUGGAUGAAAAUAUUUCAACGGAGAAGCUGGUAGAAGACUUCAUGAAGGAGAAGAAAAGGAAAAAAAUCAAAGGAUGA
rnacentral:lncRNA from 1 species